rnacentral:rRNA from 1 species
AUGCCCAACUGGUUCUGGGAUUUAACUAGCCUCAAGUAUCUAGAUAUCUCGAGCAAUGGUUUCUAUGGCCCGUUUCCAGAUGGGAUAGGUAAUAUGACCUCCAUUGUGUUGCUUGAUUUAUCAGAUAAUAACCUUGUGGGCAUGAUACCUUCCAACAUGAAGAAACUGUGUAAUUUGGAGAGAUUAAUUUCUAUGAUGAACAAUGUCAAUGGAAGUAUAACAGAGUUAUUCCACCGAUUACCAAACUGUUCACAGAAUAAACUACAAUACUUGUUUGUACCGUACAACAAUCUGACUGGAAGCCUGCCAACUGCACCAGUAGAAUGCUUAAGCAACCUGAGCCAGCUGUAUCUCGCUCAUAACAGCCCAACUGGUCAUGUGCCACUGUGGAUAGGAGAGCUCAAACAGCUAACAAAUCUGGACCUUAGUUCUAACAACCUGGACGGGGUCAUACAUGAAGGUCAUUUAUCACGUCAGGAUAUGUUGGAGGAAUUGAGAUUAUCAGACAACUCCAUUACCAUCACAGUGAGCCAAACUUGGGUUCCUCCUUUCAGUCUAGGAACAAUUGAACUUCGGUCCUGUCAGCUAGGGCCAAAAUUCCCAAUGUUGCUUAGAUGGCAAACACAGGUAAUGAGUCUUGAUAUAUCAAACACAAGCAUAAAUGACAUGGUACCAGGUUGGUUUUGGAUAGCAGCUUCCUCAGCAGAUUCUCUGAACAUUCAAAAUAAUCAGAUUACAGGAGUGCUCCCAUCAACAAUGGAAUUUAUGAGAGCAACAAAUAUGAAUUUCAGUUCUAACCAACUUAGUGGUCCAAUACCUAAACUUCCCAUCACUCUGACCGGCUUGAUCUCAGUCGGAACAACCUAG